rnacentral:rRNA from 1 species
AAUCAAGCGCGAAAAGGGCGUUUGGUGAAUGCCUUGGCAGUAAGAGGCGAUGAAAGACGUGAUACUCUGCGAUAAGCCAUGGGGAGCUGAGAAUAAGCUUUGAUCCAUGGAUUUCUGAAUGGGGCAACCCACCUGAUACUGUGUUAUUAUUGAUCCUUCGGGGUCAGCUAAUAAUGCGGUAAAACAGGUAUUUAUAACCUGAAUACAUAGGGUUAUAAAAGCAAACCCGGGGAACUGAAACAUCUAAGUACCCGGAGGAAAGGAAAUCAAUUGAUACUCCCCUAGUAGCGGCGAGCGAACGGGGACCAGCCGAGCCAUGAGUGUGGUUAGAAUGCGUUGGAAUGCGCAACCAGAGUGGGUGAUAGUCCCGUAUAAGAAGCAUGAUUGGACGUAUUAAGUAGGGCGGAACACGUGAAAUUCUGUCUGAAGAUCGGAGGACCACCUUCGAAGGCUAAGUACUCCUUACUGACCGAUAGUGAACCAGUACCGUGAGGGAAAGGUGAAAAGCACCCCGACGAGGGGAGUGAAACAGUACCUGAAACCGAACGCCUACAAUCAGUCGGAGCUUGACUGGAGUUCAAUUUGGAUGUCAUUGGAAGCCUAUGAAAUACAUAGCUUCCAUACUGACCUUCACCCUAACCACAUCAGCCGCAAUCGCUGACGAAUACGUCAUCGGUCUGGGCUAUGACGAUGUGUUAGACCAAACAGACACACAGGCCGCAGCCCUGGUGCUCGAAUAUCACGCUGAUCCGUUCUUUGCGGGUCGCGCAGCGUCAUAUUCGCUCGCUGGUGCAGGCCAGAUCGACGGCGACGGAGACGUUUUUGUCGGUGUGGGUGUUUAUGCCUUGUGGUCAUUGGGAGAGGGGCCGUGGUUUGUAGAAGGCAGUUUCAUGCCCGGCUACUAUGAUCAGGGCAGUGGUGGCAGCCCAUUGGGUGGCAAUCUGCAAUUCAGAACGUUGCUGGGCGUUGGCUAUACGCUGACGGACAGCAGUCGGAUCUCACUUGCGAUUGACCACAAAUCCAACGCAGACAUCGAGGACACCAACCCCGGCAGCGAGACGCUGGUGGUGCGGUAUACCUUCGGUUUCUGAUAUCCAAAUUGAUCUCCAGUCUUGUGACGGCGUACCUUUUGUAUAAUGGGUCAUCGACUUGGUCUCACGAGCAAGCUUAAGCCGUUAGGUGUAGGCGCAGCGAAAGCGAGUCUUAAUAGGGCGUCGAGUUCGUGGGAUCAGACCCGAAACCGAGUGAUCUAGGCAUGGCCAGGUUGAAGGUAAGGUAACACUUACUGGAGGACCGAACCCACAUCCGUUGAAAAGGAUCGGGAUGAGCUGUGCCUAGGGGUGAAAGGCCAAUCAAACUCGGAGAUAGCUGGUUCUCUGCGAAAUCUAUUUAGGUAGAGCGUCAUCCGAAUACCCUCGGGGGUAGAGCACUGGAUGGGUAAUGGGGCCCCACAGGCUUACUGAUCCUAACCAAACUCCGAAUACCGAGGAGUACUAGAUGGCAGACACACGGCGAAUGCUAACGUCCGUCGUGGAGAGGGAAACAACCCUGACCUACAGCUAAGGCCCCUAAUUCAUGGCUAAGUGGGAAAGCAGGUGAGACGACCAAAACAACCAGGAGGUUGGCUUAGAAGCAGCCAUCCUUUAAAGAUAGCGUAACAGCUCACUGGUCUAAAUAAGUUGUCUUGCGGCGAAGAUGUAACGGGGCUCAAGCCAUGAGCCGAAGCUUAGGAUGCAUUUAUUGCAUGGUAGCAGAGCGUAGUGUGACAUAAUUCCAUGUGUCCUUACCGGGUUCGCCCGGAUUGGACACACGGAGUUUUCUGUGAAGCCGGCGCGUGAGCGAUCCGGUGGAGAGAUCACUAGUGAGAAUGAUGACAUGAGUAGCGACAAACAGUGUGAGAGACACUGUCGCCGAAAGUCCAAGGGUUCCUGCUUAAAGCUAAUCUGAGCAGGGUAAGCCGACCCCUAAGGCGAGGCCGAAAGGCGUAGUCGAUGGGAACCAGGUUAAUAUUCCUGGGCCAGAUGGAAGUGACGGAUCUCGGAGGUAGUUCAUCCUUAUUGGAUUGAAUGGGCUGCUGAGAGGUUCCUGGAAAUAGCUCCAUCGCUAGAUCGUACCCUAAACCGACACAGGUGGACUGGUAGAGAAUACCAAGGCGCUUGAGAGAACUAUGUUGAAGGAACUCGGCAAAAUACCUCCGUAAGUUCGCGAGAAGGAGGCCCAGUUUCUACGCAAGUAUUGGCUGGGGGCACAAACCAGGGGGUGGCGACUGUUUAUUAAAAACACAGGGCUCUGCGAAGUCGCAAGACGACGUAUAGGGUCUGACGCCUGCCCGGUGCCUGAAGGUUAAAAGGAGGGGUGAGAGCUCUGAAUUGAAGCCCAGGUAAACGGCGGCCGUAACUAUAACGGUCCUAAGGUAGCGAAAUUCCUUGUCGGGUAAGUUCCGACCUGCACGAAUGGCGUAACGACUUCCCCGCUGUCUCCAACAUAGACUCAGCGAAAUUGAAUUACCUGUCAAGAUGCAGGUUUCCCGCGGUUAGACGGAAAGACCCCGUGCACCUUUACUACAACUUCACACUGGCAUUAGGCCGAACAUGUGCAGGAUAGGUGGUGGGCUUUGAAGCGUGAACGCCAGUUUGCGUGGAGCCUCCCUUGAGAUACCACCCUUGUUCUGCUUGAUGUCUAACCGCGGUCCGUUAUCCGGAUCCGGGACCCUGUGUGGUGGGUAGUUUGACUGGGGCGGUCGCCUCCUAAAGCGUAACGGAGGCGCGCGAAGGUUGGCUCAGAGCGGUCGGAAAUCGCUCGUUGAGUGCAAUGGCAGAAGCCAGCCUGACUGCGAGACUGACAAGUCGAGCAGAGUCGAAAGACGGCCAUAGUGAUCCGGUGGUCCCAAGUGGGAGGGCCAUCGCUCAACGGAUAAAAGGUACGCCGGGGAUAACAGGCUGAUACUGCCCAAGAGUCCAUAUCGACGGCAGUGUUUGGCACCUCGAUGUCGGCUCAUCUCAUCCUGGGGCUGGAGCAGGUCCCAAGGGUACGGCUGUUCGCCGUUUAAAGAGGUACGUGAGCUGGGUUUAGAACGUCGUGAGACAGUUCGGUCCCUAUCUUCCGUGGGUGUAGGAUACUUGAGAGGAGUUGCCCCUAGUACGAGAGGACCGGGGUGAACGAUCCACUGGUGGACCUGUUGUUGCGCCAGCAGCAGUGCAGGGUAGCUAUGAUCGGAAAGGAUAACCGCUGAAGGCAUCUAAGCGGGAAGCCCCCCUCAAAACAAGGUAUCCCUGAGGGCCGAGGUAGACCACCUCGUCGAUAGGCCAGAGAUGUAAGCACAGCAAUGUGUUCAGUUGACUGGUACUAAUUGCCCGAUAGGCUUGAUUUG